ACGAACGCUGGCGGCGUGCCUAAUACAUGCAAGUUGAGCGCUGAAGGUUGGUACUUGUACCAACUGGAUGAGCAGCGAACGGGUGAGUAACGCGUGGGGAAUCUGCCUUUGAGCGGGGGACAACAUUUGGAAACGAAUGCUAAUACCGCAUAAAAACUUUAAACACAAGUUUUAAGUUUGAAGGAUGCAAUUGCAUCACUCAAAGAUGAUCCCGCGUUGUAUUAGCUAGUUGGUGAGGUAAAGGCUCACCAAGGCGAUGAUACAUAGCCGACCUGAGAGGGUGAUCGGCCACAUUGGGACUGAGACACGGCCCAAACUCCUACGGGAGGCAGCAGUAGGGAAUCUUCGGCAAUGGACGAAAGUCUGACCGAGCAACGCCGCGUGAGUGAACAAGGUUUUCGGAUCGUAAAACUCUGUUGGUAGAGAAGAACGUUGGUGAGAGUGGAAAGCUCAUCAAGUGACGGUAACUACCCAGAAAGGGACGGCUAACUACGUG
rnacentral:rRNA from 1 species